rnacentral:rRNA from 1 species
UACGGAGGAGGCAAGCGUUAUCCGGAAUUAUUGGGCGUAAAGCGUCCGCAGGUGGCACUUCAAGUCUGUCGUCAAAGACUGGGGCUUAACCCUGGAAAGGCGGUGGAAACUGAAGCGCUAGAGUGCGGUAGGGGUAGAGGGAAUUCCCGGUGUAGCGGUGAAAUGCGUAGAGAUCGGGAAGAACAUCGGUGGCGAAGGCGAAUCCCUGGAAAAUACCUGACACUGAGGCACGAAAGCUAGGGGAGCAAACAGG